UGGUAGUNCAUGCCGUAAACGUUGGGCACUAGGUGUGGGGGACAUUCCACGUUUUCCGCGCCGUAGCUAACGCAUUAAGUGCCCCGCCUGGGGAGUACGGCCGCAAGGCUAAAACUCAAAGAAAUUGACGGGGGCCCGCACAAGCGGCGGAGCAUGCGGAUUAAUUCGAUGCAACGCGAAGAACCUUACCAAGGCUUGACAUAUACUGGACUGCGUCAGAGAUGGCGUUUCCCUUCGGGGCUGGUAUACAGGUGGUGCAUGGUUGUCGUCAGCUCGUGUCGUGAGAUGUUGGGUUAAGUCCCGCAACGAGCGCAACCCUCGUUCUAUGUUGCCAGCACGUGAUGGUGGGGACUCAUAGGAGACUGCCGGGGUCAACUCGGAGGAAGGUGGGGAUGACGUCAAAUCAUCAUGCCCCUUAUGUCUUGGGCUUCACGCAUGCUACAAUGGCCGGUACAGAGGGUUGCGAUACUGUGAGGUGGAGCUAAUCCCUAAAAGCCGGUCUCAGUUCGGAUUGGGGUCUGCAACUCGACCCCAUGAAGUCGGAGUCGCUAGUAAUCGCAGAUCAGCAACGCUGCGGUGAAUACGUUCCCGGGCCUUGUACACACCGCCCGUCAAGUCACGAAAGUUGGUAACACCCGAAGCCGGU
rnacentral:rRNA from 1 species